rfam:Camelus ferus unplaced genomic scaffold scaffold1852, whole genome shotgun sequence.
GAGGGUAGAGCUCAACUGGUAGAGCUCAUGCUUAGCAUACACAAGGUCUUGGGUUCAAUCCCCAGUACCUCCA